GAUAUAGUGUGUUUGUUCAACUGAUGGACAAAGGCAGGUUAGAUGAGUGCAAAAAUAAAUCCUCUUUUCAACCCAGAACUCACUGUCCAGUAUGAGUUUUGACAUACACAGAAUGUGUGAUAGA